GUGGAUUACUUUUUCACAUCAUAUAUUUACCUUUUUGUGUGAUUGUCCAAUACCAUUGUGUGAUUGCCCAGUACCUCUUCAAUUCAUCAAUCGUACUCAUGAUUCCACAGUCUGGUUCUGCAUAUUUUCGUUCUACAUUAAAAGGAAGAGCCAUUAUUGUUGAAUGUAAUGUGUCAUGCUAUGCAUUUGGUUUUGUGCUUGAUCCAAUGUCUUGUAUGCCGGGUGUUUCAGUGGUGCAGUACGUGAAGACUCUUAUUGUUGAAUUUAUAGAAAAUUAUAUUAACUGAAGGUCCUUAAAUCUUGCCAGUCAUGUGUCCAAGGCCUGUAGUGCAUGCUGAAGGCAAAGUAUUGUGUUAGUAAGGUUCCAAAUGUCACUGUUUCUUCCUCAUAUUUGAAACUAUCGUCUUGACAUUCUUGUUCAUGAAACCUAAAAUUAUGUUGAUCUUUUUGGGUUUUAUUUUUAUCAUAGUUUUUCUUGUCUUGGUGUUGCAGAGAGCAGAUCUCCCUCUGAAGAAUGGGACUUUGCUUCGGAGAGGCCUGCCCUUUUUGCAAGAUGGUUCCAUAAGCUAUGACUAAGACAGAUCUUUCCGCAGCUUUUUGAUCGCUCUGGUCCAUUCUAUGGAGAGCUAGGUAGGUUUGUCUUGAGGACAUUGGGAGUCAGAACAAAACCCAAGAUGGGACCUCCAGCAGGUCCCAAUGGGCUUCCAUUCUCUGGGCCCGGCGGUGCACCUGAGAACCGAAACUACGUUGAGGGACCAAAGGCCGCUCCUAGUGGUUCCUGGGAAAAUGUUUGGGGAAAUGAUACCAGUAAAUGAUGAGGUAAUA